rnacentral:misc_RNA from 1 species
AAAGAUUGCUGAUUUUGGACUUGCUCGUUGCUUUGCGACUGAUAAUACCCAUAUUAGCACAGGGAUUGCAGGAACACUGGGUUAUAUUGCUCCUGAGUAUCUUAUUCGAGGACAGCUAACAGAGAAAGCAGAUGUUUAUGGUUUUGGUGUUCUUGUUCUGGAGAUUGCAACUGGCGAAAAGAACAGCAUUUAUUCACAGGGAUCGAAUUCAAUUUUGCACUCUGUAAGAUUCUUAUUCCUUGUUUUCUAUUUCGUGGAAACUUGCUAUUGUCGACAUUCUGAGGCCAUAAUUUAAGGUUUGGAAGCAUUACAAGGCAAAAACACUUGCUCAAGCCAUUGAUCCCAGGCUUAGAGAUAGACAUCCUGAAAAAGAUGCAGAAAAUGUGCUUCAAAUAGGACUUCUAUGCACACAAGCUUCUGCUUUACUAAGACCGUCCAUGGCUGAAGUAGUUCAGAUGCUAACCAAUAGAGAAUGUGAAAUCCCUUCACCAAAGCAACCUCCGUUCUUAAAUGCUAGUCUAAUUAAUGCAGAUGACUCCACAGAAAACUCUAUUACGAAAUUUCACUUACCAAGAGUACUUCCAUAACCAUAAAUCCGCAAGUAUUAACUCAACUACCCUCGAAUGAUGCCCAAUAUUCAUUUGUUACAGCUAGUCCCACGUGGAGUUGUGCUUCAUUGGAAAAUUCUGAGACAAGAUAGUAUCAACUCAAUAGUGUAUAUUCAAUAAAUGGACCAAUGUAUAGUGCAUAUUCAAGAAUUGCAAGUCAAGAGACAGACCUCUUUGCAGUACCUGAAGUGGGUUGGUAAAGAAUCGAUCGAGCAAGACAUCUGCCAGUGGAGAAUGAGGUGUUUCAGCCAUUGAAGUUGAAAAGAGUUGGUACACAUAAAGUGGAAGGACAAGGUUGGCUUAUCACGCGGAGAUGCUUGGCUGCUUAUGAUACUUGGAAUUUUUCCAUGGAUAGGGGAGAUUCACAUAGUUUUUUCUUUUAUUUUUUAAACAAAACCUUAUGUAAUUUUGGGUCAUUCCCUCGUAGAUCUUUAAAAAAAGGGAAGAAGAAUCUUUUUUUUGCUCUUCCUUUUCUUUCUUUCAUGUCCUAAGGUCUACAUGGGUUAAUCUCUUUUAGGUAUGGCCUUUUUCAAACAUUUCUUUCAGGUGGAGUAUUCUAUGAGAACAGAAUUAGAAAAAUG